GCGCGCGGCGUCUUAGGUCGCGGGCGGCCGCCUCCCACGCCGCAAGCCUGCGCAGGGGUCCCCGCCUCCAUCCCUUAAGCUAAACCAGGGUUUUGCGCGCGGGGGUGGGGCAGCCCGUCUCCCAGAUACUGAAAUUGCGUUGGCGCCCUCCUUUAAGGCGAGGCACGGGACACUCCCAGGGGCCGCCACUAGGGCGGCUCCUACCCUCCGCCCCGCCUGCACCCACCCGUCCCACCCCUCGCGGUUUGCCCCAGGGGCAGGGUCUCUGACCUCAUGCUCUCGGGAUGCGACCUGUGCAGCCCCUGGCCUUCGCUCUCUUAACGAGCCGCUCUGGCUGACACAAAAAGCGCGAGAGGGCUUUUCUCCAUCUCUGGUAGGGAUAGAGCCCCUCUGCAGCUACCGAUUUGGGAAAUACCUGAGGUUUUUUCCACUUGCACAGAAAGGCUAUUCUAGCCCUGAAGCUGGCUAGUAAGACGCUAUAGUCCCAGCUACUCCGGAGGCUGAGGAUUAAUUCCUGGCAAUGAAACAAAAGCAAAAUUAUCCCAUUCCACAGUAGAUUCGGAUGAAAACUGGAAAUAAAAUCGGGUACAACUUCAAGAGGAGAUAUUGGAGAAGAACCAAGCUGGGUCUGCAAGGAACUGCAUACGAGAUGGCACACGUAUUUAUGCUGUCUCAAGGUCAUGACCAUGUUACCAUAUCAAGCUGAAAAUGUCACCACUAUCUGGACAGUUGGUCAUGUUUUAUUGGGAAUAUAUUUUUUUCCUCUCUGAAUCUAUUGUGAAUGCGCUGGUUGGCUGGGUUCAGUAAUAAAUAUGUGAGACCUUUCAUUUGAAAAAAUAAAAAUAAUAAUAAUUUGCAUUA